rnacentral:rRNA from 1 species
AUGUACAACAAAUGUUUUGCUACUAGAAAUUUCCAUGUCUGGAUUAGGGCCAAGUCUGGAUAUUACUGUCGAGUGGCUACCGAAGAUCAUGCACAUUAUUUCUUCUCUCUUGCCGUUGCAUUUGGCAUUGCGAUGGAUUCUUGUAAUCCUGUUUGUUCCUAUUUUAGUUUUGUGGGGUUUGCUUUUGUCUACUUUUAUGCUUGGUUUUUCACAUCAAAUUGUAAAAUAAUUAUUAGGAGAACAUUUUGUUCCUAUUUUAGUUUUGUUGGGGUUGCUUUUGUCAACCUUUAUGCCUUACUUUUCACAUCAAAUCGAAUUAUAAAAUAUAAGCAUCAGGAGAAGAUUUUUCUAAUUCAGUGGCCGACCACGCACCUUCCACUUAAUAAUUGA